rnacentral:rRNA from 1 species
AUACGACCGUACCGCAAACCGACACUGGUGCGCGAGAUGAGUAUUCUAAGGCGCUUGAGAGAACUCAGGAGAAGGAACUCGGCAAAUUGACACCGUAACUUCGGAAGAAGGUGUGCCCUAUUAGUGUGUAGUGAACAACGAAGCAUGAAUGGGUUGCAAAAAAUCGGUGGCUGCGACUGUUUAUUAAAAACACAGCACUCUGCAAACACGAAAGUGGACGUAUAGGGUGUGACGCCUGCCCGGUGCUGGAAGAUUAAAUGAUGGGGUGCAAGCUCUUGAUUGAAGUCCCAGUAAACGGCGGCCGUAACUAUAACGGUCCUAAGGUAGCGAAAUUCCUUGUCGGGUAUGUUCCGACCUGCACGAAUGGCGUAACGAUGGCCACACUGUCUCCUCCUGAGACUCAGCGAAGUUGAAAUGUUUGUGAUGAUGCAAUCUCCCCGCGGAAAGACGGAAAGACCCCAUGAACCUUUACUGUAGCUUUGUAUUGGACUUUGAACAGAUCUGUGUAGGAUAGGUGGGAGGCUUUGAAGCAGGGUCGCUAGAUCUUGUGGAGCCAACGUUGAAAUACCACCCUGGUGUGUUUGAGGUUCUAACCUAGGUCCAUUAUCUGGAUCGGGGACAGUGCAUGGUAGGCAGUUUGACUGGGGCGGUCUCCUCCCAAAGCGUAACGGAGGAGUUCGAAGGUACGCUAGUUACGGUCGGACAUCGUGACGAUAGUGCAAUGGCAUAAGCGUGCUUAACUGCGAGACUGACAAGUCGAGCAGAUGCGAAAGCAGGACAUAGUGAUCCGGUGGUUCUGUAUGGAAGGGCCAUCGCUCAACGGAUAAAAGGUACUCUGGGGAUAACAGGCUGAUACCGCCCAAGAGUUCAUAUCGACGGCGGUGUUUGGCACCUCGAUGUCGGCUCAUCUCAUCCUGGGGCUGUAGCCGGUCCCAAGGGUAUGGCUGUUCGCCAUUUAAAGAGGUACGUGGGCUGGGUUUAAAACGUCGUGAGACAGUUUGGUCCCUAUCUUCCGUGGGCGCUGCAGAUUUGAGGAGGCCUGCUCCUAGUACGAGAGGACCGGAGUGGACACACCUCUGGUGUAUCGGUUGUCACGCCAGUGGCAUUGCCGAGUAGCUAAGUGUGGAAGAGAUAACCGCUGAAAGCAUCUAAGCGGGAAACUCGUUUCAAGAUGAGAUCUGCCGGGGCCUUGAGCCCCCUAAAGAGUCGUUCAAGACCAGGACGUUGAUAGGUCAGGUGUGGAAGC